rnacentral:rRNA from 1 species
GCACAACCAAGCAAACUAAACUCUUAAGACAUAUUCAAUAAGGGUACAGCCUUAUUGAAAAAGGACACAACCUCAACUUUAGGGUAAUGAUUAAAAUUCCUUAUACACGGCCAAGUUGGCUUAAAAGCAGCCACCUUAUAAAAAGCGUCUAAGCUUCGCCUCUUUCUCCCCCCCCCCAAUUCAAUUAUUUUCUCAAAACCCAACACCCCUACUGAGCUUUUCUAUAUUAAUAUAGAAGUAAUUAUGUUAGAACUAGUAACACAGAAAUUUUUCUCUUACAUGCAGACAUAAAUCAGAUCGAAUACAUCACUGAUAAUUAUCCAGCCUGAGCCUAAAGUAAUAACUGCCCUAGAAAAUCCUACUAACAACUCUGUUAACCUAACCCAAGUGCAUGAAAGAAAGAUUAUAAGGCUGGGAAGGAACUCGGCAAACACUAGUCCCGCCUGUUUACCAAAAACAUCGCCUUCUGAUAAUUAUAGAAGGUAACGCCUGCCCAGUGACUAUUAGUUCAACGGCCGCGGUACUCUGACCGUGCAAAGGUAGCGUAAUCACUUGUCUUUUAAAUAAAGACUAGUAUGAAUGGCAUCACGAGGACUAAUCUGUCUCCCCUCCCUAAUCAGUGAAACUGAUCUCCCCGUGCAGAAGCGGGGAUAAAUUCAUAAGACGAGAAGACCCUGUGGAGCUUUAAAUCAAAAGCCAACUGCUUAAUUACUCCUACCUUAAAGGAAACACCUUCGUAGACCUGGUGAAGAUUUUUAGCUGGGGCGGCUGUGGAGAAAAAACUAUCCUCCAUGAAUAACUUUGCUAAGGGCUACUGCCCUAGGCAUUAAUAACUUAACUUAAAUUGACCCUUUUUGAUCAACGGACCAAGUUACCCCAGGGAUAACAGCGCAAUCCACUUCUAGAGUUCAUAUCGACAAGUGGGCUUACGACCUCGAUGUUGGAUCAGGGCACCCAAGUGGUGCAGCCG